GUUUGAAUACAGUAGCCACUUCGAGAAGACCCAUCCAUAGGAAAACGAGAGGAAAUGAAGAUGCUGGACUGAGAUGAAUCCUUUCCUGACAAUGGGAACAGUCAGUGUUAUGGAAGAACAUGGAUGACCUUCUGCAAAUCAUCCUCAAAAACUCUGAAUGUUCCCCAAACUUUCAGAACUGAACUUCAUAUUUCAUUUGGCAUGUGUUAUUGAGGAAUCUAUUUGAACUAUUCUUGAACCUAUUCUCUUUCAGCCUGUACCCCUUCUUGGUGUUCCAUGUGAUGCUUGUUUAAUGUAUAAUUUGGGCUUUCACUUAUUCCAAAGCUAACUAUUUUGGAUGGCAAAAGAGGUACCAUAUCCUCACAUACCAGGGUUUAAAAGUAGUUGGAGUUGGUAUUUCCCCUGCCUGAUAUGAUUUGAGGGAAGCUCUUCGGCUUCAAAGUAUUUUUCUGAGUGAUCUACAGAAGAGCCAUAUAAUAUUACCAUAUUAGGGGUAAAAGGUAAUUAGGUUAUUCAUCAGUGUUUUUUAUACUCCCUGAAAUCUUAUAGGUACUUUAGAGCCAUAUUUAUGGUUGGGAGGGUAAUUACUGGAGAGGAAGAAAGGUAAUGGCAAAUUAAACGGCAUCCUUAUGUUUAUAUCCCCAAACUCAGAAAGACUCAGAAAGUAGCAAUUCUGUGAGGAAGGAAAGUCUACAUCUAUCCUGACCCAUGGAAGACAAAGGAUUUCAAUCACUUUAAAACUACUAGGAGAUAGUAGGGACCUUGCUUUGGGAGAUGAGUCUUGGAAGUCUACCUGGUAUCCUUCUGUACCUCAAGUAGACAGAGCCUGUAGGACUUCUAAUGACUGAACUGAAGGCUAUUGAGUAGCCUGGGGAUGGAAGUCAAGGCGUUGUCUAAAGAUUAGUAACAUUUUUCAGCAAUGGGGAUUAAGAUCUGGACAGAGGUCAGGAGAUUAUAAUUAAAAAGACUGAAGAAUAAGGAUAAAGUGCCAAGGUAGGGUAGAGAAAGAUAUUAUAAACAAAGUUAUACUGGUUGACAGUGAUGGCAAGACAGUUCAGCAUUCCAGUGACAGACUUUGAGGAUUCACAGGAAGUAGGAAAAAUCAAUCUCUAUACCUCUUUUCAAAGUAAUCUUAAAUGCAAAGUAUCAAAUAUAUGAAAAUUCAAAGCUAGCCAAAUAUAAUGAUAUAAAAUUAAAAAACAAGUUCCUGGAUCCUGGAUUUAUACGAAUCAUACUGUCAAGUAUGAAUUUUUCACAGAAGGAAUUAUAGAUUAUAUUACUGAGAUUCCUAUCAUGAGGAAAGAAUACUCACCAGGUAAAUUAGUGUCAUCUCUUGCCUUGAGUGAUGAAGGCUGAGAUUGUGAUGGAACACUAGGAGAGACAGCCUCUGAUGUUUUUCCAAAGACUCUUACUUCACAGAAAGAUAGAAAUGUUCUUUUUGGGUUGACAAUACUCACAUACCUUCCUCUCAUCAUUCCACAUCUGAAAAACUCUGUUUUCCCAUAGCCCAAGGAACCAAUGACUGCACAUCUAAAGGCAAAUAAUAUUUUAAUUGGGAAAGAAUCAAAGGUGCUGAUUGAAAACAUCUGCAUAGAGGAGAGAGUUGGAGGGGAGCAGUAAGAAUGUUCUCUUUAUUGGAUUCACUCAGAGAUUGAGACUGCCCAAGUCCUUCCAAAUGAUUGGUGAAUUGCACCAGCAACAAGAGGAGUAUGGAACUUGUCCAACUGGAAUCCUUUUUUUAAUAAGGUUGUGCUAUUAGCAUCAAAUUGUAAUUAAAAUGAUAAAUCCCUUCCUUGAAGUCAGAGAUUUAUUAUUUUUUUUUAUUCUUAUAUCAUUUGUAUUCAGCUCUGAGCCUGGUAUAUAUUAUACAUGUAUAAAAUACCUUUGAAUUGAAAUGAAGUAGAAAUUUUCCUGAACUUAGAGUUAUAAAAAAUAAGUUUGU